rfam:Nicotiana sylvestris Nsyl_contig46168, whole genome shotgun sequence.
UGGACAUAUUAUUGUAUUCGACUGUAUUCACGGCGUGAAACAGGGGAUUACACUGUUUUUAAACGGAAAAUGAAUCAAUUAACAUAAUAGACUCCU